CCCUUAGAUGUUCUGGGCUGCACGCGCGCUACACUGACGCACGCAACAGGUGCCUGCUCCGAGAGGACUGGGUAAUCAUUUGAGUGUGCGUCGUGAUGGGGAUAGAAUAUUGUAAUUAUUACUCUUCAACGAGGAAUUCCUAGUAAGCGCCAGUCAGCAGCUUGCGCUGAUUACGUCCCUGCCCUUUGUACACACCGCCCGUCGCUCCUACCGAUGGGUGAUCCGGUGAAUGAUGCGGACUUCAGCGGCUCCCCUGGGGUGCGCCGGAGAAAGUUUUGUGAACCUUAUCACUUGGAGGAAGGAGAAGUCGUAACA
rnacentral:rRNA from 1 species